rnacentral:ncRNA from 1 species
AAAAGUUUGGUCCUAGCUUUUUUAUUAGUUGUCAGUAGAAUUAUACAUGCAAGAAUCAUCUUCCCAGUGAGAAUGCCCUCCAGACCACAAAGAUCAAGAGGAGCGGGUAUCAAGCACACUAAUAACGUAGCUCACAACACCUUGCUUAGCCACACCCCCACGGGACACAGCAGUAACUAAAAUUAAGCAAUAAACGAAAGUUUGACUAAGUCAUACAACUUCUAAAAAGGGUUGGUAAAUCUCGUGCCAGCCACCGCGGUCAUACGAUUAACCCUAACUAAUAAACACCGGCGUAAAGAGUGUUAAAAACCAACACUACAAUAAGAUUAAAUUUUAUCCAAGUCGUAAAAAACAACAGAUAAAGACAAAACCAUCCACGAAAGUAAUCUUAUUAAAUCUGAAAACACUAAAGCUAAGACCCAAACUGGGAUUAGAUACCCCACUAUGCUUAGCCGUAAACACAGAUAUUUAAUAACAAAAAUUUCCGCCAGAGAACUACUAGCCACAGCUUAAAACUCAAAGGACUUGGCGGUGCUUUAAAUCCACCUAGAGGAGCCUGUCCUAUAAUCGAUAAACCCCGAUAAACCUCACCACUUCUUGCCAACUCAGCUUAUAUACCGCCAUCUUCAGCAAACCCCUACAGGGAACAAAAGUAAGCACAACUAUGCUCAUAAAAACGUUAGGUCAAGGUGUAGCUUAUGAAGUGGAAAGAGAUGGGCUACAUUUUCUUUUCAAAGAAUACACCCAACAGUAAUUUUUAUGAAACCUAAAAAUUUAAGGAGGAUUUAGUAGUAAAUUAAGAAUAGAGAGCUUAAUUGAACUAGGCCAUAAAGCACGCACACACCGCCCGUCACCCUCCUCAAAUAUUAACUCAAAUUUAUACAAAUUAAAAAUAUAAGAGGAGACAAGUCGUAACAAGGUAAGCAUACUGGAAAGUGUGCUUGGAUAAA